rnacentral:rRNA from 1 species
UACAGAGGGGCAAGCGUUGUUCGGAAUUACUGGGCGUAAAGGGCGCGUAGGCGGCCUGUUAAGUCGGACGUGAAAUCCCUCGGCUCAACCGGGGAACUGCGUCCGAUACUGGCGGGCUUGAAUUCGGGAGAGGGAUGUGGAAUUCCAGGUGUAGCGGUGAAAUGACGCAGAUAUCAGGAAGAACACCCGUGGCGAAGGCGGCUCUCUGGGACGGUACUGACGCUGAGACGCGAAAGCGUGGGGAGCAAACAGG